UAGCAUGAUACUCUGGUUUCUCUUCAGAUCGUAUAAAUCUUUCGCCUUUUACUAAAGAUUUCCGUGGAGAGGAACAACUCUGAGUCUUAAACCAAUU
rnacentral:snRNA from 1 species